UAUCCAGACAGCACUUAAGUUUUUUACAUCAGAGGAUGAACUGAUGCCAACUCCAACUGUAAGACAUGGGAUACUUUAUAUGCCACUGCCUGAACCUUGGACUUAGGAUGGACCCCACCGAACCUCACCGAAAUGACCUGCAGGUUGAACUGCGAUGCACCUUCUCCUUUGCAGUUUGGAGAACACUGCGACGCCACAGUCAGAUCUUUUCCCAUCCAGCUAAAGGAGAACCCGACACUCGCCGGAGACAUUCCAUCAAGCAGCCUGUUUCUAAUUGUCCAUGAAGACCAAGAUCACUAGUGUCACGCACACGUGGUGGUGUCACCUGCAGACAGGCCUAAAAACCUGAGCGAUAUAGCGGCUGUCUUCUUUAGCAAACCCUGAUGGAAGAGAUGGCAAUGAAGGCAAAGUAAAGAAUUUUAAAGUCUACAACGUAGCUCUUGGAAUAUAUAUUGCAUCAAUAAAGAAGGCGAAAAACCUUUCAACAAUUUAUCAAUGUUUAGCUGCCGCAGCUGAGGCUCUUUUGGCCGUGAUGUGCACCUGUGCUUGGGGACUGUAGCUGCUGAAGGCUCUGCUGCAGUAAGGACAGAGACUUCAGAGCAGCAGGUUGAGUUAUACCAAUGGGCCCACUGCGCUCCUAUUCAGCUCUGCCUAUAGACUCAUCUGGUUUAAGAGCAAGGACCUCAAUCAUCCUUACUGUGUUGCAAAUGGCCUCCUAUACCUUACAGAUUAUAU